CUCCCGUUAAGUCCCUUGUAGGACCUCCCCCUUCUAAUGGUUCUCCAAUCUUGGAAAAUCAGGGAAGAAUUUCCGAAACUCCAAGGUCUUCUUUUCACUUGUUGUGCGUCAACUGCAAAGACUUUCGUCACAUUUCUUCUAAAUGUCCUAAUCAAACCUUAGUCAUGGAAGAACGAAAGAAUGUAAUAGAGGAGCCGUUAGAAGAUCUAGUCUAUGAACCUAAACUUAAAGAUUUUGAUAACUUGGAUGAUAGUGAGGACACUUCCUUAGGUGGAAUCCAGACUCUUCCCGAGACUUUGGAUACUGUACCCCUUAUCUCCAACAAUUCUCGAUCACAUGUUAUAUGUCAUACCCUUACCCAAGUUAAAGAGUUUGAUGAUGUCACCAAUCACUCUUGGAAAAUCCAGUCGCCUGUGGUUAACACUAAGGCAAAAUUAUCCACCACCGACCAACCUCAAAUUGAUGGUCAAAACAAAAGUGCUAACCAAAAUCCUGACAAUUUAUUUCAGUCUCUAGUCCAGAAAAAUCUUGGGAAUUGGGACUUGAUCCCUCCAACUGUUCAAAUUGCAUAUAACGAUCCUGUGCACUGGUCUUUAGGUCUAAAACCCUUUGAAGUUAUUCUUGGUUGUGAACCUUUGAAACCUCUAGACCUUAUUCCCAUGCACCCACAUGCUUGUGUGUCUAUGUCAGUUGAGGUAGCUGUAUCACAUUUUCGUAGCUUGCAUAUUGAGAUCAAUAAACAAUUUGAAGCAAGUAAAGCAUUAUAUAAACCUCAAGUUAAUUGGCAUAAACAACACUUUGAAUUUAAUAUUGGAGAUUAUAUUAUAUUGCAAGAGUGUAAUGCUGGUCUUUUUAAAAUUUCAAAGCAUGUUGGUCAAAAUGCCUAUGUCAAUGAUCUUUUAUCACAUUAUGACCAUCACCCUAUUUUAUUUGUUAAGGACUUCAAUACUUACAAUGGCUAUUUUAACACUUUUGUUGAUCCUUUUCUAUCUCUACCUGAGAACUCCCACACCGAAUCUUUUACUAUGUCUAUUCGAAUACCACCUAUCGCAGCACACAAAGAUAAAAUUGAUGUAAUUUUAGAUGAACUGGUUGUGUUAACCAUUGAUGGAGAGAAUCAGUGCUUCUUUAAUUGUUGGGUAGAUCAACGUUCUUAUUGUGCUCCACAUUAUGCGCAAUCAUGUGAAGAUUUUGGAGAUGAGUUGCAAGAGUAAUUGUUAUUUGGAGUCCAAUGUCGGUACUUGAUUAAAAUGAGGGAUCGUCCGCCUUGGUCGGAUCAUAUUCUUGAGGACAUGUUGCCAUUUGCAUUGUUAUCAACCGUGGAAUUCAGAUAUUUGGUUCUUCAAAAAGAUCGUCCACCGUGGUAUGAGUUCAGACAUUGAAGAUUGACGGUAGCUCUUUGUCAUUUGUUCACUCAACAAAGUCGAGUUUUUCUUCCACCCUGGGAGAAUUUAUGCGGACAUCACUUAUAUUAUUAUUGCACUAUUUUACUAUUUCUAGUUAUUGGGCUUGUAUUAUUGGUUUGGCCCAAGCCCAUCACUGGUAAGGUUAUGCUUUUACUAUUUAUAUGAUUUUCAAUUGUAAUUUCAGUUGAUGAUGAAUGAAUAAUUAUUUUGGUGGCUCAUGAC
rnacentral:lncRNA from 1 species